CCAGUUGUCGUAGCCCCAACUCUCCUCUCCACUUGCAGUCGACCACCUUUGGGCAUCUAUUGCCAAGAUUGCUUGCAAGCACUCAGGUGGCCAUGAUUUGUCCUGGGAAUGUAGUUUAAAGGUUCCCAUUUUCGACUCUCUCUUCUUCACUUUCUUCCAAGAAGAAAAUUUAGACAAACAAAGAGAAUCCGAGCAGGAAAGAGAGUGCAGAAAAAAAAAAAAACAGAGUGUGUGUAGUUAGGUGUCGAGAGGAAGUUCUGGUGCAAAGAGGAAGGAAUCUUCCUUCUGUUCUAAGGUAGGUGAGUCGUCUUCUCUCAGAGUUUACUUCCUCUUUUUUUCCAGAAUACUCACACGUCCUUCCAAAAUUUUUAAACCCAAAAUUGCAGUAACUUCGUUGAACUGUUGCAGGUAAGUUCGGGUUUCUGCUUCUUUUUACUUCCAGAUUUCACUCAUUUUCUUAAUCGUAGAUAGUUAGUAAAUUGUUAGAAUGUUAGCCAUCUGUUAGGAAUCGAUUAAACAAGCUGAAUACUCUUAAAAACCAGAAGUUUAUCCCAUUUCUCAGUAAUUGCAGAAUUGUUCUUCAAGCUUUGAAACCGACCCUGUCCUUGUAUUUUUCAGCUAAUUUCUGUUACUUCUUUGAGGUAAGAUGGGUAAUACUCUAGAUUAUAUAAAUAUGACAUUUAUAUAUUGCAUUUCAUGGGUAAUUUUCUUUAAAAUGCGUAAUGAUGUGGAGUGUUAAAAUGGAAAGGGUGAGUGUGUAUAUUAUUGUGUUUAAUGUUUACAUGAAUUGUUUUGUCCAUAUUUUUAUUUGGAUUUGUUGAUGGUUUUGCUCAAUCAAUGAUGAAUGUUGUUUACAAACAGAAAAUGGGAAGCAAAGGGAUGAAAACAGGGGCUCUAUUGCCUCUGUCAAGCAGGUUAGGCACCAAAGUGCCUCUGUUUCAUAACCACACAGCUUUGUCGUGUUUGUUUGCAGAAGAGGAGUUUUCGGGCACCCGAAAUAGCCUGGAAUUCCCUCUGGUAGGUUGCAACUCUACAGUUUGCCGAGCUGGAGAGUGUUGGAGAUGUUCGGGCAUCUGCGAAUGCCAAAAUGGGACCAGUGCAGAGUGCCAUUGCAAGGGGGCCGUGAUGGCCCAACAGGCAUGAAAUCAUUCCAAGGGGCCUUCACGGAAGCCCACUGGGCCACGAGCCCAACAGGGGGAUUUUCCUCUUGGGCUUGACUUUUGGAUCAGAUGGCCUUUUGGGAGAACCAAUAAAAUUAAUAAAUUUGGAAUUGUGAAGGUUAAUUUAGAAAAUUAUAAACUGUCAAUGAAAUGAGAAUUGGCUAAGAUUAUUGUAAUGAAAGAAAUUAAUAGUAAAUAAAAUUUAAACACAAAAUUAAACCUUGAGAAAAUAAACCAAAAGCCAAUAAAAAAAUUAGAA
rnacentral:lncRNA from 1 species